UUGGAUAAGUCCUCCAACAUCUCAACUAACUCCUCCUACCUCUCAGUCGAUGGUGACACAGCUUGAAAUCCUGGUAGAGGCAGUGAUAGAUGCUGAGGUGGCGGCGGCAUUAAAAUUUGCUGAGGAAUUCAGUGCCGAGCCGAGCUUCACAACCGCUGCAGGGUACAAAAAUCCGGAGAAAGAAAAAGAAAUUAUGGAGGAGCUGAGGAAAAAGUGUUAUCAUUGGAUGACACAUAUAAAGAAAACCAAAGAUACUACCAAUGGAUAUAAUGCCAUAUUGGUCUUGAACCAUGAAGCGCAUUUGGAGGGGCUUAGAGCCUUAGACAUCAUUUCUUGACUCUAAUGCCCGAAGAAGAUGUAGAAAAUACGGUGGUCAAUGCAGUGUGUAUGAUUCUCGACGACAAAAAAUGUUGUUGGUUUCAGGAAGAAAUAUACUGUGUGCCGACGGAUAUUGUGAUGUUUAUGUGGGAACCCAUGGCGAGAAAUAUAUUGAUCCAAAUACCAACAAGGCCUACCGGAUCGAUAUCGAUCAAUAUGCGCACUACCACUGUUUUCUUGGCAAAAGAAAACUGGCAUCACAUCCAUUUGACAUUGGUGGUUGUGGAUUGCCGAUAUCAACAAGAAAGCAUUCUAUGUUCUUGACCCUGUUAACAAAAAGAAAG